rnacentral:rRNA from 2 species
AGAGUUUGAUCCUGGCUCAGGAUGAACGCUGGCGGCGUGCUUAACACAUGCAAGUCGAGCGAAGCACUUUUUUAGAACUCUUCGGAGGGAAGAGAGGGUGACUUAGCGGCGGACGGGUGAGUAACGCGUGGGCAACCUGCCUUACACAGGGGGAUAACAAUUAGAAAUGAUUGCUAAUACCGCAUAAGACCACGGUACUGCAUGGUACAGUGGUAAAAACUGAGGUGGUGUAAGAUGGGCCCGCGUCUGAUUAGGUAGUUGGUGGGGUAGAAGCCUACCAAGCCGACGAUCAGUAGCCGACCUGAGAGGGCGACCGGCCACAUUGGGACUGAGACACGGCCCAAACUCCUACGGGAGGCAGCAGUGGGGAAUAUUGCACAAUGGGGGAAACCCUGAUGCAGCGACGCCGCGUGAGUGAGGAAGUAUUUCGGUAUGUAAAGCUCUAUCAGCAGGGAAGAAAAUGACGGUACCUGACUAAGAAGCCCCCGGCUAACUACGUGCCAGCAGCCGCGGUAAUACGUAGGGGGCAAGCGUUAUCCGGAUUUACUGGGUGUAAAGGGAGCGUAGACGGACUUGCAAGUCUGAUGUGAAAAUCCGGGGCCCAACCCGGGACUGCAUUGAAACUGUAUUUUUUGGAGGGGUCCGAGGAGGCAAGUGGAAUCCUGGGUAGCGGUGAAAUGGCGUAGAAUUCAGGGAGGAACACCAGUGGCGGAAGGCGAAUUACUGGACGAUAACUGACGGUGAGGCGCGAAGCGUGGGAGCAAACAAGAAUUAGAUACCCUGGUAGUCACGCUGUAACGAUCGAUACUAGGUGUGCGGGGACUGACCCCUGCGUGCCGGAGUUAACACAAUAAGUAUCGCACUGGGGAGUACGAUCGCAAGGUUGAAACUCAAAGGAAUUGACGGGGGCCCGCACAAGCGGUGGAUUAUGUGGUUUAAUUCGAAGCAACGCGAAGAACCUUACCAGGGCUUGACAUCCUGCUAACGAAGUAGAGAUACAUUAGGUGCCCUUCGGGGAAAGCAGAGACAGGUGGUGCAUGGUUGUCGUCAGCUCGUGUCGUGAGAUGUUGGGUUAAGUCCCGCAACGAGCGCAACCCCUAUUGUUAGUUGCUACGCAAGAGCACUCUAGCGAGACUGCCGUUGACAAAACGGAGGAAGGCGGGGACGACGUCAAAUCAUCAUGCCCCUUAUGUCCUGGGCUACACACGUAAUACAAUGGCGGUUAACAAAGGGAUGCAAAGCCGCGAGGCAGAGCGAACCCCAAAAAGCCGUCCCAGUUCGGAUCGCAGGCUGCAACCCGCCUGCGUGAAGUCGGAAUCGCUAGUAAUCGCGGAUCAGCAUGCCGCGGUGAAUACGUUCCCGGGCCUUGUACACACCGCCCGUCACACCAUGAGAGUCGGGAACACCCGAAGUCCGUAGCCUAACCGCAAGGAGGGCGCGGCCGAAGGUGGGUUCGAUAAUUGGGGUGAAGUCGUAACAAGGUAGCCGU